rnacentral:rRNA from 1 species
GGCGAGUGAAGCGGCAACAGCUCAAAUUUGAAAUCUGGCGUCUUCGGCGUCCGAGUUGUAAUUUGCAGAGGGCGCUUUGGCAUUGGCAGCGGUCCAAGUUCCUUGGAACAGGACGUCACAGAGGGUGAGAAUCCCGUACGUGGUCGCUAGCCUUUACCGUGUAAAGCCCCUUCGACGAGUCGAGUUGUUUGGGAAUGCAGCUCUAAAUGGGAGGUAAAUUUCUUCUAAAGCUAAAUACUGGCCAGAGACCGAUAGCGCACAAGUAGAGUGAUCGAAAGAUGAAAAGCACUUUGGAAAGAGAGUUAAAAAGCACGUGAAAUUGUUGAAAGGGAAGCGCUUGCAGCCAGACUUGCCUGUAGUUGCUCAUCCGGGUUUCUACCCGGUGCACUCUUCUACGGGCAGGCCAGCAUCAGUUUGGGCGGUUGGAUAAAGGUCUCUGUCAUGUACCUCUCUUCGGGGAGAACUUAUAGGGGAGACGACAUGCAACCAGCCUGGACUGAGGUCCGCGCAUCUGCUAGGAUGCUGGCGUAAUGGCUGUAAGCGGCCCGUCUUGAAACACGGACCAAGGAGUCUAACAUCUAUGCGAGUGUUUGGGUGUCAAGCCCGAGCGCGUAAUGAAAGUGAACGGAGGUGGGAACCUUUCGGGGUGCACCAUCGACCGAUCCUGAUGUCUUCGGAUGGAUUUGAGUAAGAGCAUAGCUGUUGGGACCCGAAAGAUGGUGAACUAUGCUUGAAUAGGGUGAAGCCAGAGGAAACUCUGGUGGAGGCUCGCAGCGGUUCUGACGUGCAAAUCGAUCGUCAAAUUUGGGCAU